GAUGAACGCUAGCGGCAGGCCUAAUACAUGCAAGUCGAGGGGCAGCGCGGUAGCAAUACUGGCGGCGACCGGCGCACGGGUGCGUAACACGUAUGCAACCUACCUUCAACUGGAGGAUAGCCCGGGGAAACUCGGAUUAAUACUCCAUAACACAGGGAUCCCGCAUGGGAAUAUUGUUAAAGCUACGGCGGUUGAAGAUGGGCAUGCGUUCGAUUAGCUAGUUGGUGUAGGUAACGGCUCACCAAGGCUACGAUCGAUAGGGGGUCUGAGAGGAUGAUCCCCCACACUGGUACUGAGAUACGGACCAGACUCCUACGGGAGCAGCAGUAGGGAAUAUUGGUCAAUGGAGGCAACUCUGAACCAGCCAUGCCGCGUGCAGGAUGACGGCCCUAUGGGUUGUAAACUGCUUUUAUACAAGAGAAAACCCUGGUACGUGUACCAGGUUGAUAGUAUUGUAAGAAUAAGCAUCGGCUAACUUCGUGCCAGCAGCCGCG
rnacentral:rRNA from 1 species